AGAGUUUGAUCCUGGCUCAGAUUGAACGCUGGCGGCGUGCUUAACACAUGCAAGUCGAGCGGUAACAGGUGUAGCAAUACAUGCUGACAAGCGGCGAACGGGUGAGUAAUGCUUCGGAAUCUGCCCAGUAGUGGGGAAUAACCUGGGGAAACUCAGGCUAAUACCGCAUACGAACUAAGGUUGAAAGCAGGGGAUCGCAAGACCUUGCGCUAUUGGAUGAGCCGAAGUCGGAUUAGCUAGUUGGUGAGGUAAAGGCUCACCAAGGCGACGAUCCGUAGCUGGUCUGAGAGGACGACCAGCCACACUGGGACUGAGACACGGCCCAGACUCCUACGGGAGGCAGCAGUGGGGAAUAUUGGACAAUGGGGGCAACCCUGAUCCAGCGACGCCGCGUGUGUGAAGAAGGCCUGCGGGUUGUAAAGCACUUUUAGUGGGGACAAAAAGCCAAGGAUUAAUACCCUUUGGUCUUGAUUUAACCCAAAGAAAAAGCACCGGCUAACUCUGUGCCAGCAGCCGCGGUAAUACAGAGGGUGCGAGCGUUAAUCGGAAUUACUGGGCGUAAAGCGUGCGUAGUCGGUUGUUUAAGUCUGCCGUGAAAGUCCGCAGCUUAACUGCGGGUCUGCGGUGGAUACGGGUCGGCUAGAGGUAGGUAGGGGCAAGUGGAAUUCCUGGUGUAGCGGUGAAAUGCGUAGAUAUCGGAAGGAACAUCAGUGGCGAAAGCGGCUUCCUGGACCAGAACUGACGAUCAGGCACGAAAGCGUGGGGAGCAAACAGGAUUAGAUACCCUGGUAGUCCACGCCAUAAACGAUGACAACUAGACGUUGGGAGGGUAAGCCUCACAGUGUCGCAGCUAACGCGUUAAGUUGUCCGCCUGGGGAGUACGACCGCAAGGUUGAAACUCAAAGGAAUUGGCGGGGACCCGCACAAGCGGUGGAGCAUGUGGUUUAAUUCGAUCAACGCGAAGAACCUUACCUGGUCUUGACAUGUCUGGAAGUCUGCAGAGAUGCGGAUGUGCCUUCGGGAACCAGAACACAGGUGCUGCAUGGCUGUCGUCAGCUCGUGUCGUGAGAUGUUGGGUUAAGUCCCGCAACGAGCGCAACCCUUGUCCUUAGUUGCCAUCAUUAAGUUGGGAACUCUAAGGAGACCGCCGGUGACAAACCGGAGGAAGGUGGGGAUGACGUCAAGUCAUCAUGGCCUUUAUGACCAGGGCUACACACGUGCUACAAUGGCAGGUACAGAGGGAAGCCAACCGGCGACGGGGAGCUAAUCCCAGAAAGCCUGUCUUAGUCCGGAUUGGAGUCUGCAACUCGACUCCAUGAAGUUGGAAUCGCUAGUAAUCGCAGAUCAGCAUUGCUGCGGUGAAUACGUUCCCGGGUCUUGUACACACCGCCCGUCACACCAUGGGAGUUGAUUGCACCAGAAGCAGGUAGCCUGACCGUAAGGAGGGCGCUUACCACGGUGUGGUCAAUGACUGGGGUGAAGUCGAAACAAGGUA
rnacentral:rRNA from 1 species